rnacentral:rRNA from 1 species
GACGAACGCUGGCGGCGUGCUUAACACAUGCAAGUCGAACGGAAAGGCCCUGCUUUUGUGGGGUGCUCGAGUGGCGAACGGGUGAGUAGCACGUGAGUAACCUGCCCUUUACUUUGGGAUAACUUCAGGAAACUGCGGCUAAUACCGGAUAGGAGCGCCUGCUGCAUGGUGGUGGUUGGAAAGUUUCGGUGGUUGGGGAUGGACGCGCGGUUUAUCAGCUUGUGGGUGGGGUAGUGGCUUAUCAAGGGUUUGACGGGUAGCCGGCCUGAGAGGGUGAACGGCGACAUUGGGACUGCGGUACGGCCCAGACUCCUACGGGAGGCAGCAGUGGGGAAUAUUGCACAAUGGGCGGAAGCCUGAUGCAGAAACGUCGCGUGCGGGAUGACGGCCUUCGGGUUGUAAAGCGCUUUCGCCUGUGACGAAGCGUGAGUGACGGUAAUGGCUAAAGAAGCACCGGCUAACUACGUG